GUCUCUCCUGCGCCUCUUUCCUCGGCAAGCGGCGUCCUGCACGCACCAGGGUGCCAGCCGGGCAGCGUUGGGAGGAACGUGUGCAUGUGUACGUGCAGCACCAGUUCUAAAAGCACGACACUAAUCAGCUGCUAUGGAACAUGUGUUUACUCCAUUGGAAUGUCUGCUUCCCACUGGGCCCAGAGCAGCUUGCAUCAUUAAAAAGGUGGACAUGGAGUCAGAAUAAAGCUUACCCACUAACAGGAGGAAAAGAAGUAGAAACUACUUACUGUGGAACCAGUCCCAGCCUGAAGCCCAGCUAUAUAUCCAACAGG